rnacentral:lncRNA from 1 species
AUUACACAAUUUCUUGUAAGUUUAGAUAAUCAAUUUGUUGACUGAAAUAAUUUAAACCAUCUAGUAAUUAUAGCCUAAUGCCUAUCAUAUAUGUGAAAAGACUACUUAAACUAGCAAACUAAAAUAGUCGAAAUAUCAUUUACUACAAGCAUACAUAAAUAAUUUGCCAACUAAAGGCCAUAUAUAGAUGUUCAGUUUCAUUACAACUAUCUACAUGGUUUUUUAGUACAGAAAGUGAACUAUUCUAUAUACAACUAACCGCUCAAUAUACUACUAAAAAAUAAAUUCAAAACAACUUGAUUCUUCAUUUCAUAUUCAUGCCUCAAUUCUGAGCUUACAAGAAGUACCCGUUGUGUACCUGAUAUGGGAAAAGCAUAGAAGAAGAGGAAGAUAAAUAGAAGAAGCAGUUGCACACAUAACAACACAGCAAAAAUCGCAGGGAAGAUUAAAACCAAGUAGGAAAGCCCAGGAUCUCACUCUCAAAACUCAGCAGAAAACCAAGCAACAGAUCCAACAGCCAAUCAGGAAACCAAACUCAAUGAAACAGUAUUAAAGUAGGAGCUUCCAAAGGUGUUUUUCCCUUAAUUUCCUUCUUAAUUAAAGGCACAUAUUAAGGCUUGACUAACAGGCCAUUAACUUAGUCAAUGCCCACUUUUUAUUUCAAAAAUACCCCUAAAAUCCCUACUGUUAUUACUGCGCUAAUCCUUAACAAUCUGUAUUUAAACCUCUCUGAUUUACAACUACACUGAUUAUUAUUUACCAAAUCACUACACAGCUACAACCAAUUUUAAGUCAAAUCCACACAAAUAAUUCAAGCAUAAAACUGAGUUCAACCAACAGUUUCAUUUCAAUCACAAAAAUCAGAGCAAGCAAGGAGCAAAAAAUGGCGAACAUACUAGAAAACAACAAUAGCCUAUUAUCCUGCUUCUCCAAUUUUCAAUCCGACUAAUCGACGAAAACUACUCAAAUCAUUUAUAUAGCUUAUAACACACACUUUGAACAGAAGAAAAACUUUGACCAAAUAAAAGGUCUUGAAGAAGAAGAAGAAGAAGUGAUGAACAAGACAAUGUUACAAAUAAAACUUUUAAACCAAUAACAAUAAAAGAAAAUAGAUGAAAAAAACGAAAUAAUCUUGAAAGAAAAAUCUAAAAACUGAACGAGCCCAUAUUGAACUCUUGGAGGUUGAACAGGCUAUUUUGUGUGUGUUGUUGCUCGUUCGUGGACGAGCUAGAACUCGAACAGUAGGUCGUUUGGUUGAGCUAGAACUCGGACAGCAGCAAUGGUCGUCGUCCGUGGCUGUGACGAUGCUGGUUGUUGUGUGGUUAUGGAGGUCUUGAGGAAGAAGACUGGAACGGGGGAAACUUUGACCAAAUAAAAGGUCUUGAAGAAGAAGAAGAAGAAGUGAUGAACAAGACAAGGUUACAAAUAAAACUUUUAAACAAAUAACAAUAAAAGAAAAUAGAUCAAAGGAACGAAAUAAUCUUGAGAGAAAAAUCUGAAAAUCGAACGAACCCAUGUCGAAUUCGAAUUUGAACUCUUAGAAGUCGAACGUACUGUUGUGAACGGGGAAGGGACUGUUUGUGUGUGUGUUUGCCCGUUCAUGGACGAGCUGGAAACUUGACGGACAGUAGGAUGAUGUUUGGACUGUUUCCGGUGCUGAAGAGUGACGGACUGGUCAAUGGGGUCGUCGUCCGUCGCUUGCUGUUCAUGGAGUUUCGCCACUGCUCGCCGGGUUGAUGACGGACAGCAGCUAGAGGAGAACGGGGGUCGUUUGGGGCGAGGUAAGGAGAACGUGAAGCAACAAAAAUGGAGUAAGACGAAGCUGGAAGGCGGCAGCGAUGGCGGGAAUCAAAGGCUACUGCUCGUCGUAGGCGAGUGACUCGUUUGGUCGUGACGAUUAGACUGGCAGCAGCUGGUUCUCCCAUGGUCUAGGGUCUUUACUCCAUUUAUGUCUUAGGUUUGAAGAAGGAGUAGUAGUUAGGAUUAGGGUUUUUGUUAUUGUGUCUUGUGAAGAAGAUGACAUUUGGUCUCCUCCAAAAUUAGAGAACGGUUGAUGAGUUAAGGUGUGGUCUAGGGUUUAUUUGGGGGAUUGGACCGGGUCAAAGGUAUGGGUUAUUGAACUGGGUCGUUG